rnacentral:rRNA from 1 species
GGGCUAAACAUAUUACCGAAACUGUGGAUGAACCUCUUUAGAGGUUCGUGGUAGGAGAGCGUUCUAAGGGCGGUGAAGUCAGACCGGAAGGACUGGUGGAGCGCUUAGAAGUGAGAAUGCCGGUAUGAGUAGCGAAAGAAGGGUGAGAAUCCCUUCCACCGAAUAUCUAAGGUUUCCUGAGGAAGGCUCGUCCGCUCAGGGUUAGUCGGGACCUAAGCCGAGGCCGAUAGGCGUAGGCGAUGGACAACAGGUAGAGAUUCCUGUACCAGUGCUAAUUGUUUAACCGAUGGGGUGACACAGAAGGAUAGGGAAUCGCACGAAUGGAAAUGUGCGUCCAAGCAGUGAGUGUGAGAAGUAGGCAAAUCCGCUUCUCGCGAAGCAUGAGCUGUGAUGGGGAAGGAAAUUAAGUACGGAAGUUCCUGAUUUCACGCUGUCAAGAAAAGCCUCUAGGAAGAGUAGUACUGCCCGUACCGCAAACCGACACAGGUAGAUGAGGAGAGAAUCCUAAGGUGAGCGAGAGAACUCUCGUUAAGGAACUCGGCAAAAUGACCCCGUAACUUCGGGAGAAGGGGUGCUCUAUUAGGGUGCAAGCCCGAGAGAGCCGCAGUGAAUAGGCCCAGGCGACUGUUUAGCAAAAACACAGGUCUCUGCAAAACCGUAAGGUGACGUAUAGGGGCUGACGCCUGCCCGGUGCUGGAAGGUUAAGAGGAGUGCUUAGCUUCGGCGAAGGUACGAAUUGAAGCCCCAGUAAACGGCGGCCGUAACUAUAACGGUCCUAAGGUAGCGAAAUUCCUUGUCGGGUAAGUUCCGACCCGCACGAAAGGCGCAACGAUCUGGGCACUGUCUCAACGAGAGACUCGGUGAAAUUAUAGUACCUGUGAAGAUGCAGGUUACCCGCGACAGGACGGAAAGACCCCGUGGAGCUUUACUGCAACCUGAUAUGGAAUGUUUGUACCGCUUGUACAGGAUAGGUAGGAGCCGAAGAGACGUGUGCGCUAGCAUACGAGGAGGCAAUGGUGGGAUACUACCCUGGCUGUAUGACCAUUCUAACCCGCCACGCUUAGCGCGUGGGGAGACAGUGUCAGGUGGGCAGUUUGACUGGGGCGGUCGCCUCCUAAAGAGUAACGGAGGCGCCCAAAGGUUCCCUCAGAAUGGAUGGAAAUCAUUCGCAGAGUGUAAAGGCACAAGGGAGCUUGACUGCGAGACUGACAAGUCGAGCAGGGACGAAAGUCGGGCUUAGUGAUCCGGUGGUUCCGCAUGGAAGGGCCAUCGCUCAACGGAUAAAAGCUACCCCGGGGAUAACAGGCUUAUCUCCCCCAAGAGUCCACAUCGACGGGGAGGUUUGGCACCUCGAUGUCGGCUCGUCGCAUCCUGGGGCUGUAGUCGGUCCCAAGGGUUGGGCUGUUCGCCCAUUAAAGCGGCACGCGAGCUGGGUUCAGAACGUCGUGAGACAGUUCGGUCCCUAUCCGUCGCGGGCGCAGGAAAUUUGAGAGGAGCUGUCCUUAGUACGAGAGGACCGGGAUGGACACACCGCUGGUGUACCAGUUGUUCCGCCAGGAGCAUCGCUGGGUAGCUAUGUGUGGCAGGGAUAAACGCUGAAAGCAUCUAAGCGUGAAGCCCCCCUCAAGAUGAGAUUUCCCAUUUCUUCGGAAAGUAAGAUCCCUGAAAGAUGAUCAGGUAGAUAGGUUUGGAGUGGAAGUGUAGCGAUACAUGGAGCGGACAAAUACUAAUCGAUCGAGGACUUAACCAA